ensembl:lncRNA
AUUUUGUCAGUCUUGACCUUUUGGAACUGUGGUGCUUUACUCUAUUAAAAUCCCAGGAAAGAUCUAAUUAAACACUUCAGUCUGUAAUUGGUUUUACUGACCAUAUCCUCUUGUAAAAGAACAAGACCUUGCUAAAAUGUGCAUCUUCUUUGUUAACCUGCAACCUUCAGGAUGGCUGAAAACUACUAGUGAAAACUAAUAGUGAGAGGUUGAAUGAUGGAUAAACGUGGUUAACCAUAUUUAUCCAGGAGCUCAAGUAAAAUGAAUGGAAGGAGCUGCCUCAGCAAUCCAGCAAGUAUUUUCUGAUCCAACAAAAGCCAGUAUAGAAAUGGAAAAUAACUGCUACAUUACAAACAUGAGCCUGAUCUGCCUGAGACUUGAACCUCUCUUUCCUUUCAAAUCCUAAGAGAACGUUCAGUGAGAUAUAAACAAGUAAUUAGGUGUAUUGUUAAUAACCAUAAAGUAAAUAUAAAAUUCAUCCAGACUGGAACACUGCUCAGGUCAUAGUGAUGAAAAAAUGUGGUGGUGACAAAUCAUGCUCUUGAAAUGUUCUAAGGCUGUAUCAAAGCAGUAUGAAGAAAACAACAGCUAAAGACUGGGAGACUAAAGUUUUUUUUUCUGUUACGAUGAAAUUUAGCACAAAAAGGUCUGUUGCAUCUUGAAAGCUACCUGGAAUUUUCCCCUGCAGCAUUGUGCAGCGUUAGCAAGAACACUACUGUUCCCCUGGAGUUAAUAUGGCAUUCUGCCAUCCCUAUCAAUUGGUCUCAUGAAAUUCAGAGAGAAAUGAUAUAGCUGUUCAUCAGAUAUGGAGAUGGUUAUGUUUUGUCUUUUGAGGUAAGACCUUAUUGAUGGUUGGCAUUUUUAAUUGGUUUCCUUAUAAUGCAUUAAAUUGCCUGAAUUUACCCAAAUGAGUCAGCAGUAUGCCCGAGCAGACAGGAUGGCAAACUGGAUUUGGGGGUGCUUUGACAGACAGCCAAAAAAAAAGUGAUUCUCCUAUUAUAUACUGCCUCAUCUUGAAUAUUGUGUGAAGUUCUGGCCUCUACAAUAUAAAAAGGAUGUUAAGAUACUUCAGCGCAUCCAGAGGAAGGCACCAACAUUCGUAGAAGGAUAGGAUAUGAGGGAACGGCCUCAAGUUGUGCCAGGGGAGGUUCAGGUUAGAUAUUAAAAAGAAUUUCUUCUUAGAGUGGUGAGACAUUGGAACACGUUGCCCAGUUUGGUUGCGUAGUCACCAUUGUGCGAGUGUUUAAAGAGAGGGUAGGUGUAGUAUUUAGAGACAUGUUUUAGUGGGCAAUGUUGGUGGUAGGUGGACGGUUGGACUGGGUGAUCUUAGUGGUCUUUUCCACCUUAAUGGAAAACCUUAAUGAUUUUAUGACUCUACAGAAGGGUUGGAUGGUAUAUCCUACAAGAAGAGGCUGAGGACACUUUGGUUAACUAGUCAGGACAAGAGAAGGCUCACAGGUGAUGUUAUUCUCUACAACUCCCUAAUGAGAGGAAGUAGAGACAGAGGUCCCGAUCUCUUCGCCCUGGUACCCA